rnacentral:lncRNA from 1 species
CCGGUGACAAUGGCAGAGGCACCACCAGAAGAUAAAAUAUUCUUGGGGCAGAAGAACAUCAAACAAGACGUUGUGGACUGGAAACGUCUAUUAUUCCCAAACUUUGGAUUCAUGUAAGUUAUGUAACUAGUUGGAAACUCAUACAAGCAGAUGACCAUCAAUCAAACACAAGUUCAGAAAUGACAGAAAUACCAUUCCAACCACUUCCAAAGCUGAAGCCAAAUGCAGAUGUUUCUGGGUCUGGCAGCCUAAAGUCAGGUGGAGGCGAUUAUUCCCACAAAGAGAUCACAGAGGAGGACGCUGCGGCUUCAGCCCCUCCUCUACUCUGUGGUUGCAUCUCAAGCCCUUAUUUGUUUAAACGGACGGCCCUGGAAAACUACACAGUUGAUGACUGCUGCUGUGUGUGCAGAAGGCGAGAGACUCCCGGUCCUGCUAAGACUCACCCAGAAGCUACUGCUCAUGUGCUAUGAUUGCAAGUUUUGGCAUCUCAGAAGAGAGUAAUAGAAUAAGUUAGGCAGCCAUUAAGGAGAGUGAGGGAAUUUCUUUAUGUUUCCUCUGGAAAGAGUAGGACCAUCUUAAACCCUCUUUGCAACACUCACAAUAGAAAAGUAAUUCAUAAGUCAUUUUUAUAAAAUUUUAAUUCAGCAAAUUAGGUGCACAGUAAAAAGAAAAACAAACAAGAGAAUGAGAUAGAAGGAGCGGGACCUUUGGACACUGAAGACAACGAUCACAUCAAGUCACAAUGAAACAAGUCUCCCUUAAUUUUAAGGGGAUGGAGUUCAAGAGCAGAGCAUCUGCUUAGAAUGGACAAGACAUUGUAUCCACCCCCCAGGUUAAAACAAAGAGAAACAAAUAAAGAGAUGCACAACUACUAAAAAAAAAAAAAG